rnacentral:rRNA from 1 species
AUGUAAUAUAAUUUCUACAAUGUUAAUGCACCAGAUCCCAUUAGAACUCCAUAGUUAAGAGUGUUUGGACUAUAUUAUUAUUGGGAUGGGCGACCUCUUGGGAAGUCUUAGUGUUUUACAUG